ACUCCUGCGGGAGGCAGCAGUGGGGAAUAUUGGACAAUGGGCGAAAGCCUGAUCCAGCAAUGCCGCGUGAGUGAUGAAGGCCUUAGGGUUGUAAAGCUCUUUUACCCGGGAUGAUAAUGACAGUACCGGGAGAAUAAGCCCCGGCUAACUCCGUGCCAGCAGCCGCGGUAAUACGGAGGGGGCUAGCGUUGUUCGGAAUUACUGGGCGUAAAGCGCGCGUAGGCGGCUUUGUAAGUUAGAGGUGAAAGCCCGGAGCUCAACUUCGGAAUUGCCUUUAAGACUGCAUCGCUAGAAUCGUGGGGAGGUGAGUGGAAUUCCGAGUGUAGAGGUGAAAUUCGUAGAUAUUCGGAAGAACACCAGUGGCGAAGGCGACUCACUGGACACGUAUUGACGCUGAGGUGCGAAAGCGUGGGGAGCAAACAGGAUUAGAAACCCCAGUAGUCCCA
rnacentral:rRNA from 1 species